AGUUCGAUUAUAGCUCAGAUUGAACGCUGGCGGGAUGCUUUACACAUGCAAGUCGAACGGCAGCACGGACUUCGGUCUGGUGGCGAGUGGCGAACAGGUGAAUAGCGGAACGUGCCUAGUAGCGGGGGAUAACUGGUGGCGUAGCUAAUACCGAUACGCCCUUCGGGGAAAAGCGGGGGACCUUCGGGCCUCGCACUAUUAGAGCAGCCGAUCGGAUUAGCUGGUUGGUGGGGUAACGGCUCGCAAGGGCGACGUCCGUAGCUGGUUUGAGAAACCGAAUGUGCUGGGACUGAGACACAGCCCAGACUCCUACAGGGGGCAGCAGUGGGAAUUUUGGACAAUGGGGAAACCUGGUCAGCGCCCGCGUGUGCGAUGAAGGCCUUCGGGUUAUGGGCACUUUUGGCAGGGAAAGAAGCAGCUGGAUAAUACUGAUGCGACUGACGGUACCUGCAGAAAAGCACCGGCUAACUACGUGCCAGCCGCGGUAAUACGUAAGGGUGCAAGCGUUAAUCGGAAUUACUGAGCGUAAAGCGUGCAUGAGCGGUUCCGGAAAGAAAGAUGUGAAAUCCCAGAGCUUAACUUUGGAACUGCAUUUUUAACUACCGAACGUAGGAUGUCAGAGGGAGGUGGAAUUCCACGCGUGUAGCAGUGAAAUGCGUGGAUAUGGGUUCACCGAUGGCAAUUGUCCUGGGAUAACACUGACGCUCAUGCACGAAAGCGUGGGGGAGCAAACAGGAUUAGAUACCCUGGUAGUCCACGCUGUCAGACGAUGUCAACUAGCUGUUGGGGCCUUCGGGCCUUGGUUGGCGCAGCUAACGCGUGAAGUUGACCGCCUGGGAAGUACAGUCGCAAGAUUAAAACUCAAAGGAAUUGACGGGGACCCGCACAAGCGGUGGAUGAUGUGGAUUAAUUCGAUGCAACGCGAAAACCUUACCUACAUUGUUGACAUGUCUGUGGAAUCCCGAAGAGAUUUGGGAGUGCUCGCAAGAGAACGGAACACAGGUGCUGCAUGGCUGUCGUCAGCUCGUGUCGUGAGAUGUUGGGUUAAGUCCCGCAACGAGCGCAACCCUUGUCAUUAGUUGCUACGAAAGGGCACUCUAAUGAGACUGCCGGUGACAAACCGGAGGAAGGUGGGGAUGACGUCAAGUCCUCAUGGCCCUUAUGGGUAGGGCUUCACACGUCAUACAAUGGUCGGGACAGAGGGUCGCCAACCCGCGAGGAGCCAAUCCCGAAACCCGAUCGUCGUCCAGAUCCUGAUCUGCAACUCGACUGCGUUGAUCGGAAUCGCUAGUAAUCGCGGAUCAGCAUGUCGUGGUGAAUACGUUCCCGGGUCUUACGCCGCCCGUCACACCAUGGGAGUGGGUUUUGCAGAAGUAGUUAGCCUAACCGUAAGGAGGCGAUUACCACGAUUCAUAGCUGGGGUGAAGUCGUAACAAGGUAACCCUGUUACUACAAGUGCUCCUAAGAAUU
rnacentral:rRNA from 1 species